CACAACACAACUUGAUCAAUAACAUUGUUCGACACAAACAUGGCUGCGAUUUAGCAGCAUUCCACAACAUAUCUGACACAAACAUAAUGAAAUAACAUGAGUGACUCGACUAGAAUCAUGAAAUAGCUAAAUACACACCUUCCUAAUGAAGAGCUGUAUACACACCUGGCUAAUAGCUUGAACCAAGAAUUUUGAUUUGUUGCAUUAACAAGCUCAGCGUCAAUUCUAAAGAUAUGGCCCAAUUCUCACAAUAAUUUUACUCGUAGACAUAUUCCAUACAAAAACAGAGAAAGCAAGUGAUUCCUGCAUAUAGAAAUUUAAAUUAGAAAGUAAUUUGGGGAUAAGAAGAUGCAGGGAAGAGAUAAAACUAGCAUACAUCUUCUUCCAGAUAAUUGUCUUGAGAAAUGCUUAGAAAUCAAAUAUGCAUGAAUCAACAGAGUUUAGUGCAUGCAUCAACAGCCAUCAAUAUUCUUUAAAAAUUAGCAAAUAACAUACCAAGACAAUUUUAGUACUAUGAAAUUCUGAACAAAAUUCUGACUCAAAGCCAUAGAAAGAUAAAUUCUCAACUAAAUUUGUCCUAAAGGAUCACCUAAAAUCUGUACCAACAAAUUAUACUUAUUAUGUAUGCAGGUCCACUCGUCAUGAACUAAGUUUGUAAUUAAAAAGUGUGGCUAGCAAUCAUUGAUGUAGUUAACGUAUUACAAAUAUUGCGUCAUCAAUGCUCUAAUCACAGUGCCGUAAAAAUAAAUCAAAAUGUUCAAAGAAUUAUAAAAGGGACAUAUACCUCUGGAAAACAUUGAAAAUCUCCUGUCAGGGAGAGAACUCUAUCAGGAACCAUUGCUGCUAUUUUACAAGCUAUCAUAGAUCAUGUUUCAAUAGGCAAACAAUAUUAAAAAUAAACUCAACCUAAUCAAAUCUUAGGAAAAACCAUCUGAAUUUUAACUAAAUCAAAACUCAAUAACACAAAAUAAUAACCGGUUGAGCGCCCAAAAACACGAGCCUUUUUCCAACCUAAAUGACCCAACAAAGUAAUUGUAUCUUUUGCCAUGAUCUUUGUAAAUUAUUCAAAUUAAUGUAGCACCAACACUUCAUAUUGAUGACAUGUCUGAUGUUUAGAUACUGAUAUAACACCAAACCAUAUAAUUUACAUUCAAAAACUUUCAUUUCUUCAAAAUAUUAUCAAACAAUAUAUCAUUCAAAUAAACAAUCUAAAGCAAAUAAAUACAAAAGACCAAUAAAAACCUUGAUGAUCAGACUUUCUAUUGUGUACAGAGCUCCGACCCACGCCCCAAUGAUCAAAAGCGAAAACCUCUACCACCACCGGACUCAUUGUCACAUCCUCCACUCCGAACGAUGUCAUCUUCAUCAUUAGGAACCUAUUAAUCCAUUUAUUUGUCGACCCCACCCUUGUGUGUCAAAGGAAAUCCUAACCAUUCAAUUCAAUCUCCACAAAAUCAGCAAAAUUUAAAAAAAUUUCAAAAAAUAAAAGUAAAAUUGAAUAAAAAUAAAGUGAAUUGAGGCAGAUAAGGGGAAAUAGAG
rnacentral:lncRNA from 1 species